rnacentral:rRNA from 1 species
GACGAACGCUGGCGGCGUGCUUAACACAUGCAAGUCGAACGGAAAGGCCCUGCUUUUGUGGGGUGCUCGAGUGGCGAACGGGUGAGUAACACGUGAGUAACCUGCCCUUGACUUUGGGAUAACUUCAGGAAACUGGGGCUAAUACCGGAUAGGAGCUCCUGCUGCAUGGUGGUGGUUGGAAAGUUUCGGCGGUUGGGGAUGGACUCGCGGCUUAUUAGCUUGUUGGUGGGGUAGUGGCUUACCAAGGCUUUGACGGGUAGCCGGCCUGAGAGGGUGACCGGCCACAUUGGGACUGAGGGACGACCCAGACGGCAACGGGAGGCAGGGGUGGGAAAUAUUGCACAAUGGGCGGAAGCAUGAGGCAGAGACGCCGGGUGCGAAAUGACGGCCUUAGGGUUAUAAACAGCUUUCGCGUGUGACGAAGCGUGAGUGACGGUAAUGGGUAAAGAAGCACCGGCUAACUACGUG